GACGAACGCUGGCGGCGUGCUUAACACAUGCAGGUCGAACGGAAAGGCCUGCUUUCCCUUGUGGAUUGCGGGUACUCGAGUGGCGAACGGGUGAGUAACACGUGAGUGGUCUGCCCCCAACUUGGGUAUAAGCCUGGGAAACUGGGUCUAAUUCCCGAUAGGACUGCAGGGUGGUGCCUGUGGUGGAAAACGAUUUUCUAGUGGUUGGGGAUGAGCUCGCGGCCUAUCAGCUUGUUGGUGGGGUAAUGGCCUACCAAGGCGGCGACGGGUAGCCGGCCUGGGAGGGUGGACGGCCACAUUGGGACUGAGAUACGGCCCAGACUCCUACGGGAGGCAGCAGUGGGGAAUAUUGCACAAUGGGCGGAAGCCUGAUGCAGCGACGCCGCGUGGGGGAUGACGGCCUUCGGGUUGUAAACUCCUUUCGACCGCGAGGAAGCCACCUGGUUGGAAGGGUGGUGACGGUAGUGGUAGAAGAAGCACCGGCUAACUACGUG
rnacentral:rRNA from 1 species